rnacentral:lncRNA from 1 species
GGAAAAGAGGUAGCCCAAUGCAUUGGUAAAGAACCAUACAUAUUGAGCGAUCUGAGAGAAUCAUUUGAGGAGCACGGUUAUAUUUUGGUUUAAAAAUCCUUAAAAAACCCAAGCUAUUUGAGCAGGAGAAGUAAAGUUGGUUUGAUUCAUGAACUUAGUCGACAUUCCACUCCACCCUUAUGUGGAUGAGGAAGGAACAAAAGGCAGCAGCUUUGGUAUUUAUUUCACGCAAGUGCGGAUGACGGUGCCAGCAGCUGCUUGCAUACUUGCUAUUGCUUGACACACGGUUG